UACGGAGGGUGCAAGCGUUAAUCGGAAUUACUGGGCGUAAAGCGUGCGUAGGCGGUUCGUUAAGUCUGUUGUGAAAGCCCCGGGCUCAACCUGGGAAUGGCAAUGGAUACUGGCGAGCUAGAGUGUGUCAGAGGAUGGUGGAAUUCCCGGUGUAGCGGUGAAAUGCGUAGAGAUCGGGAAGAACACCUGAGGCGAAGGCGGGCUAUCUGGCGGUGCACUGAGCUGAGGCGCGAAAAGCGUGGGGGAGCAAACAGG
rnacentral:rRNA from 1 species